rnacentral:lncRNA from 1 species
ACAAAUUGAACACAACAGUUUUCAAAAGAAGGUAACUUCAGAGCACAUUUAGGAAGAAUGUCUCCAGCUUCAUUGUUCAUUGUUCUGGAAUUUCUUGGCCUUGAUAGACUCCAAAAAGAUGCUAUUGAAAUUAGCAUUCUCGAUCCAAUAUAAGAAUCCUGCUUCCAAAGGCGCUGGAAUGCCAUUAAACCAAGCUUUGUAGCUGUGACGACAAAAGAGGCCAUUGCUAUCCCUGAUACAUGCUGCUACAUCGAACUUCUGAUCUUCCUGGAAAAUGGCAGCAUCCGUGUUGC